rnacentral:lncRNA from 1 species
UUAGCUUAUGGUCCUUCGGGGCUGUAAGCACCAUGUGAUGUCCAGGGUGUACUCUCGGGGCAUUAUAUAAUUGGUAUCAGAGCAAGGUUUAAAGUGUCCUAGGGAGUCUGUAAGCCGUGUUGUGUUGAGUUUUGUGUAUGUGUGUGAAGCAUGCUACACUUAUGGACAAGAGGCUACAAGACAUCAGCACCAUAUGGCAUCCAGGGUGUACUCUCGGGGCAUUACAACCACACACACUAUUAACCCCUAUUCUCACAUAACCUCAAGAGAGAGAUCUAGCUACACAUAAGAUAAAUAAGCAUAGAUAUACCAAACAUUUCCAUUGAAAUGACUUGUUGAAAAUUAAGUGAAUGUCAUUUCAAAAUUGGAAUUCCCAAAAAUAAACAAUGGAAGUGAGCUAAUCCUCUACUUAGAAAGUCUCCAAUGUAUUCUUCACCCAAAAUUUAUACAAUAUUUUCUUCUCCAAGUAUGGAGGCUAUGAACUCAAGUCUAAACCUAAAAAAUUGGGUAAGAUAAAAUGUUAUCAUGAUGUGAGGGUUUGAGUCUUUUUGUCAAAAUUGAGAUCAACCACGUGCAUUCCAAACUUAGCCCUUGGGCUGCUUUCUUUCGCUAAGUUGCGUCGUGUCUACAAGACUGCGGUUAUCUUCCGCAACCACGGUUUAUUGAUUUCCAUUUGAUUGCCACAAUGGUGGUCGCUAGACCGCGACGACGGUAGCUGAGGCUAGCUCCUGUUAUAAGUCUUCAACUGCACUUUCUUUCUCCCUUUUGAUCAUUUUAAGCUCCAAUCCACAUCUUUCUAUCUUUUCAACUCUAUGCCUGCAAAGAGUGGAUAUUAGUGCAUUUACUCACAAAUAUAUCUCAUUUAUUCAUUCAAAAUAAGGUAAUGUACAUGAAUGUUGAGUGCGAAUGAGUGAUAAAAUUACCACUCAUCAGGCAGCUAAGAUAUUUUUCAAUAUUAUCAUUAAUUUCACUUUUUUAUAGAAAUUGGUGCAAAAAUCAUAGUAGGGUUCAUUGCCAUUAAAUAUAGCUACAAUAGUUGUAGUAAAUUUGCCAUAUUUAACCUACAAAAAAGAAAGAAAAUUUAGGCAUCAUAAUAAGGUAAUAGCUAAACAUUAAAUUAUUAUGGUUGAAAAUAGCAUCUGUUUAUCACAGGAUAAACAACUUGCAAUUUCACCAAUUGUAAUUUCUUUGGCCCUUUUAAUUUGGUUACUUGUCAGUUGAGUAAUAUCUUUAUGAGUUUUAUUCUGGAAACAAACCUGCAUGUUCGUUACUUAGUCUAUAAUAAUAAUAAUAAUAAGUUACUAUCAUUUGUUUGGAUGUAUAUGAGGACGCAUAUUAUCAUUCUCUUAGAGAUAUUGCUUUUUCAAAUGUGGGUUCUACCCACAUACUUCUAAUAUAGGUAGAAGAUAGCCCAAAAUUUCCUACACAAUAAAAUAUUCAUUGAAAAGUGUAGCUUUAAUUUUUGUAUCCUAAAAAAUUAGAUUUUAAUAGAUGAACACUAUGGUCUUUGCAAAAUAUCAUAACAGGUGCUAAUUGGUGGUAUCAAAAUAUGAAACUGACAGAGACAAAAUUAAAAUUUCAAGACAUACAUAAAAUGAUAAUCCUCUCACUUGAAGAACAACGUGCAAGUAAUCAAAUUGCAAGCCACUAUCAAGAACAAUGUGUAAGUAAUCAAGGCCCCUACGGAGAGCCAUUAAAUUAUGUCAAGUAAGUCAUGCAUUUUUUCUUAAUUUCACCUAUUUACGUGGCUUGAUUUUAGUGAACUUGAUCUAAUUGAUUUUGUUUAUGUUUUGUUAGAUUGUGGAGAACUUGUUAGAUUGUAGAGACCAGUAAUCAUAAGUGGUGUUUAUGAGCAGGUAGGUAUAGAGUUUUUCUCGAAGAGUUUCAAACUUAUCUUUUUUGUCCUAUUAAGGUUAUUUAUGUCUUUUUAUGUAUAAUAAGAGAGAGCUUUUGUUUUGUUGGUUCCUGGUGUUUGAGGUUGACAUGGUUAAUGUUGUUUCUAGGGUUGUUGAAAACCAGGGCAAGAGUAAAACAACAAUAAAUUCUUGAUUUUUAUAAGAAAAGUUUUGCGUUUGUUCAGUUUCCUUUAAGUUGAAGGGAAUUUGAUUAAAAAACGUACUGCUAUUAAACUGGGAAACUUAGAGCUAUUUGAUAUUGAUAUAGGAUUAAACAUGGUUAAUAUUGGUUCCAAAGUUGGUGAAAAGAGCCGGAAUAGAAAAAGAUGAGCAAAGAUAGAUUUUGGAAAAAUAUUUUUAGAUUUUUUUUAAAGGGAAAAGAGAAGCAUUGAAUUGGGGCAAUGGAGAAUACUGUAGUAUAUUUAUAUGAUAGGAUGGGUCAAUGGUGUCACUUUCAAUUGAGUGUUAGCAUAGUUCAAUGGCUAUCUGAACUUUUGUCUUCUCUAAGCAUUUGUGUAUGGAGGAGUAGGGAUCUUUUAAUUAUUAUAUUCCUACAUCUAUUUCCUUUUUGUAUUAAAAGUUUGUUCUGUUUCACAACUGAUGCAGGGUAGAAGUAAAAUUGAAUAUGUGCAUCUAGAAAAUUAGUUCAUCUCCUAGUGGAUCACAUUAGGUCGUGUAUUUAGUUAGGUUUGAUUUUAUGAAAGAUCUAGAAACUUUCCACAAAUAAAGGUACUUGGAGUUGAAGGCCCUACAGUUCUACGGAGAGCCAUUAAAUUGGCUCAAGUUAGUCAUGAUUGUUUUUCUUAAUUUCAGUUAUUUACUUUGCUUGAUUUUGGUGAACGCGAUCUAAUUAAGUUUAUUCAUGUUUUGUCAGAUGGUGGAGAGUAGUUAUCAGAUUUAGUAGUUAUGAGCAGGUGGGUAUAGAGUUUGAAUAUGCUGAUGUGAUGCUACCAUUUUAUGAAUAAACUCGUAUAACUGUAAGAGUCAAAGUAGUGCAAGUUUGUGAUUAAAAAUAAGUGCUUUUGAUUGAAAAAGGUCUGCUAUAGAUAAUCUCUAAGGUUUAGGUAGGGGCUAAAAAUGAUUAGCUGCACAAGUUUUUUUUUAGAAAUAGAGAAAUAGGUACAAGAAACUAAAGAAUGACAGUUCUCUUAAUCCCUAUUCCUCAGGUACAAACCUACUAAUACUUGAGCAAGGAGCAUAGAAAAUUUUCUUUCUUGCCAUGGGAGGAAUUCCUAUUUCAAAGACUUAAAAGUUAUUAUGUUAAGAGAAAUUCUCAUUUAUGUGAUUUAAGAGUAGCAAUUGAGGCUUCAUGGAUUAGGUUCUUAUAUCUCGAUUAAACUGAUUUUGCUGGUGUUUAAUUAGCUAUAUUCUCUGUUUGUUUCUAGGAUACACACUAUGCUGCUAUAUCUGGGUUUUGAGGCAAAAAUUACUUCUUAUUCAACCUUACAACUCUUAGAUAUUUAUAACACCCCAAAUUUUUGUCCCAAGGAAAUUCCUGAGUUUUUGGACUCACUACCCUGAUUACGAUUGACCCUAUGAGUUCUAAGGUGUCCAUAUGGGUGGUAGAACCCCAUUCAUAGGGUGACCAGUGAAGUUUCCCGUGGUGUCUAUUCUGAGUAUGACUAGACUCAAUGAGUUGUCUAAAUGAGUUGUAUGGUGUUUCUUGUAGCCAAACUAGUAAAGGUGUGCACCAACUCUGAAACUAUGGAAUUCAAAAAAGGUUUGAAGGAGUGUAAGACACCCUCCGCAUUAACUAUAAUGUGCGAAGUGUACGACCAAAGACUCAAUGGAAUCGUGAUUUAUGAUUAGAUGAAGUAAAAAAAUAGAGAAAAGACAUCUUCCCCCCCCUGAACUUGUCCUCCAAGCUCACUUUAGCACUUAAACUUUACUUCGGUUUAUUUACCCCCCUUAACAUCUUUAAAGUGAAUUAUUUUCACCCCUCAAAACUGAAUACCACUCUUACAAUGGAGAAUGUGUUACACUCGCUUACACAUCAAUGCCACGUCAAUGCCACGUUGGAGCCACAUCAUUGCCACAUAAGAAAUUACUAAUUUUUA